rnacentral:rRNA from 1 species
GAUGAACGCUGGCGGCGUGCCUAAUACAUGCAAGUCGAGCGAAUGGAUUAAGAGCUUGCUCUUAUGAAGUUAGCGGCGGACGGGUGAGUAACACGUGGGUAACCUGCCCAUAAGACUGGGAUAACUCCGGGAAACCGGGGCUAAUACCGGAUAACAUUUUGAACCGCAUGGUUCGAAAUUGAAAGGCGGCUUCGGCUGUCACUUAUGGAUGGACCCGCGUCGCAUUAGCUAGUUGGUGAGGUAACGGCUCACCAAGGCAACGAUGCGUAGCCGACCUGAGAGGGUGAUCGGCCACACUGGGACUGAGACACGGCCCAGACUCCUACGGGAGGCAGCAGUAGGGAAUCUUCCGCAAUGGACGAAAGUCUGACGGAGCAACGCCGCGUGAGUGACGAAGGCUUUCGGGUCGUAAAACUCUGUUGUUAGGGAAGAACAAGUGCUAGUUGAAUAAGCUGGCACCUUGACGGUACCUAACCAGAAAGCCACGGCUAACUACGUGCCAGCAGCCGCAGUAA